GACCACGGGACUGCUGUUCCUCUGCGGUUUUCCCUGAAUGGCGGGGUGUGAUCUGACGAGUUCUCUCUUCGUCUGCGGGGAGCAUGGAGGCCGCCGGCCGUCCUGCAGCCGGGCGAGCCGAGGAGAUGGCGUGGCUUCAGGUCAGCGGACCUGCACUUGGC